rnacentral:rRNA from 1 species
UAAACGCUGGCGGCGCACAUAAGACAUGCAAGUCGAACGGACUUAACUCAUUCUUUACGAUUGAGAGCGGUUAGUGGCGGACUGGUGAGUAACACGUAAGCAACCUGCCUAUCAGAGGGGAAUAACAGUGAGAAAUCAUUGCUAAUACCGCAUAACGUAUCAUGUUGGCAUCAACGAGAUACCAAAGGAGCAAUCCGCUGAGAGAUGAGCUCGCGUCUGAUUAGAUAGUUGGUGAGGUAACGGCUCACCAAGUCGACGAUCAGUGGCCGGACUGAGAGGUUGAACGGCCACAUUGGGACUGAGACACGGCCCAGACUCCUACGGGAGGCAGCAGUGGGGAAUAUUGCACAAUGGGCGCAAGCCUGAUGCAGCAACGCCGCGUGAGGGAUGACGGUCUUCGGAUUGUAAACCUCUGUCCUUGGUGACGAAACAAAUGACGGUAGCCAUGGAGGAAGCCACGGCUAACUACGUG